UUGACUAUUUUAUUACGCGUCCUCAAGCCGAAUCAUAUUUAAAUUAUCAAAAAUCGAAUAACGACACUUCCGCACUUUCGAUCGAACUUCGUUUCACACGAAAAUCGUACUGCGAGUCGACAAGUACUACUUUAUUGCUCGAGUGUUGCUGUAUGAAUGAUAACAAGGCUAUAAGUCGUAAGACGUUAACAAUAGCGCGCUAAUGUUUACAUCGCCAAGGCCGAAUACAAUGUUACUGUUUUCGCGGCCGAAAAUAUGUUGCGUAUUAUAACGUAUAUAUGGUGUGGAAUAUUAAAUAAUAUAAAUAUUUUAAAUUAUAGCUUAAUUAUUUAAUAAACGAUUAAUAUAUCAUGGAGCUUAUUAUUAUAUUAAUUAUUAUUUGAACUUGCGAUUUGACUAUUUUAUUACGCGUCCUCAAGCCGAAUCAUAUUUAAAUUAUAAAAAAUCGAAUAACGACACUCCCGCAUUUUCGGCACGAUCGAACCUCGUUUCACACGAGAAUCUACUGCGAGUCGACAAGUACUACUUUAUUGCUCGAGCGUUGUUGUAUGAAUGAUAACAAGACUAUAAGUCGUAAGACAUUAAUAAUAGCGCGCUAAUGUUUACAUCGUCAAGGUCGUGUACCAUGUUAUGUUUUGAUUAUUCGUUGCCGAAAUAUUUUUCGUAUUAUGAUGUAUAUACAAACGGAAUAUUAAAUUAUACAUGUAUUUUAAAUUAUAAAUCAAUUAUUAAGUUAUCAAUUAAUAUAUUACGGAGUACCUCAGUGUUCGAGAUCCAUUAUGGUGGUAAAUAUAUAGUAUACUUCACGCACGGCAUCUUGCAAAACGUGCAAAAUAUUACAACACUAAAUUUUAAUUGAUCAUUAGUGAUGUUCGAGAAUACGAUGAUCUGCAAUCUAUAAUCGGCUUGCAAAUACCGCGCGACAUAUCGCGGCGCGCGCUCGAGGCGAGACAGUUGACAUGUCGUCAUUGCGCACGCAUCGCUGCGAGCCGUCGGCGCCCAAUCGAGGGCGGCCUUUUCGCGACCGAGCGAAAAGGCGUGAUCCAAUAAACACCGUCGCCCUUCUCGAAGAAUCCAAAGACAAAAUCGCGAUAAAUAAGUCGUACAAAAACUGGCGGCGGAAGUACGCAAAUUUCGGGAAUCUUCUAGAUCCUUCGAGAAGGAGGCGACGUUAUAAAAAUGAGCCGACGACCGAGCUCGACUCAGUCCGCAAAGAACAAUCGACGCGUGUACACUGUUCGCGUCAUUUCAAAAUCUCUGCAGUUCGCCGUAUGAAAUAGAUUUAUUUCAAUGCCGUUGCGUGUGAUUACCGGAUAUAAUUCGAGACAGACGAUUUUUCGCUGUUCGCCGUGCGUAAAUUAUGCUUUUGUUCGUACAUUUCUUUGAAAAUAACAGCAUAUUGUAUUCGUCCUAAGAAUUAUACAGCCUUGAUAUUCGAACGCUUGUCGACUAGUCGCCCGGCUCAUUACGCGUACUAACUUUCCGCGGCACGCUCGCUUGCACGUCCACAUCACAUUUGCGCACAUUUGCUGAUCCUUCGAGCCGGAUCUCUUGCUAUCUGGUGCCUGUGUGUGGAGUGAGUGCAAUGGGGAUCUUCGUCGGAGCUUCUCCGGACAUCACACUUGAAAACCAAAAUUAGUAAGGACACGGACUCAACUGUACGAUUGCAGUUGGAGCUAUACGGGCGCAUUGCACACUUAUAUGAAAAUCUGGGUUCGUCAACAUAACGAUCGGACUGGCGGAGGCACACCUGUAAGCCCUGGAGGCCAACUGGGUGAAAUUUGAAUACCAGCACGACAAGCUCGUCACUUCCUGCGCGAUACCGACUACGUCAAAAAGGACUUGCAAGCGGUGGCAGAAGAAGCUUAUCUCAUCCCGAAAGGCAUGUUCCUGGAUACGCUUCACCGCCUCAGGUCCAGGAAAAAGCCGAGACUCCCGCUGCUGGAACAUCUUCGUCGCAACCGCAGUGAACGACUCUGCCAAGGAUUCAGCUUCCUCAGUUCUCCGGAUUGUACAAAGAUUGGCCAUAGUUCCGAGACCUUUUUCACUCUCUUAUCGGGAAGGAUGAAUCGGCCAGCAACAUCGAAAACCUCCACUAUCUCAAGGCAUGCCUGAAAGGAGAAGCGGAGCUCCUUAUUCGCAGUCUACCCACGACAGGCGAGAAUUUCAAUCGUGCGUGGAAAGUUCUCACGGACUUCUACGAGAACAAGCGCCUGCUCGUGCGAUCGUACAUAGCGAGGUUCAUGGCAAUCCAACAGAUAAAGGUCGAGUGCGAAUUUACGCAAUCUUUACCACGGUGUGUUGAGUACCAUCGGCUCGCUCGAGAGCAUUGGACGAUCGAUAACGAGCGGCGAGGAUCUGUUUGUCCACCUCGUGGUCGAUCUCUUGGACUCCCGAUCCCGUCGCGAAUGGGAGAGCGCUAUUAGUGAUACGACGAAUCCGCCGUCGUACGCGGAGCUAAUCCAAGAAGUUUCUCGACCGACGGCUGCACACUCUCGAAUCGCUGCAACCGUCCAAGCCGGAAACGAGUUCCAAACCGCGAAACCAGGCGCAACUUCCGGACGUUCGCGUGUUGUUUACGUCCAGAAACCAGAAAGCAAAUGCGGACAUGUAGCUUGUGACACCAAAAACACUACAUCAUGUUCUGCGACGCGUAUAAGUCAAAAACGGCAUUGGAGAGACGGCAGCACAUCGAAAGGAACCAGUUGUGCUUCAACUGUCUCGGGAAGCACAACUAAGGUCAGUGAGUGCCCGUCGAAGAAGACGUGUUCGAUGUGCGGCGCGCGUCAUCACUCGACCCUCAACGACGCGUGCACCUCCAUUGAAGUAGCCAGAACUUCGCUUUCCGCAAACCGAGUUCGGAAAGCCGCGCCGGCAGUGCUCUUCGCGGCCGCGCGUGUUCGCGUAGCCGACAAAUUCGACGUCCUCCACACUACACGGGCCCUCAUCGAUCAGGGCUCCGAAAUAUCGAUCAUCGAUCAGUCGCUAGCCCAACGACUGCAACUUGCUCGGACUCCUAGCGGGAGAGAAGGCCGACCGGCUCGUCCAAUGUGCUGUAUUCUAGCAUGGCCUUGAACGCUGACUUGACAAGGAAGUGCCUCGGAGUCAAGGCCACCAGAUCUUCGGGGUCGUCCGAUAAGGCCUGCAAUGGCGUGGAGUUGAGACAGGCUUCUAUCUGCGUGAGGAGAGUGUUCAUCUCCUCAUAAAUGAGCGUCGACUCUCUCAGCACUCUCCUGAGAUGGUGUUUGCACGACUUCACCGCAGCUUCCCAGAGACCGCUGAAGAUGGAUUGAAGCACCACUGUAUCCGUUCGUUAGCCAUAUGGUCCGCGAUCUUCUGCUACUCCGGGCUGCUGGUGGUGAAGAACGCUCGGAGUUGAGCGACUGCCCCGACGAAGUUCGUGCCGCAGUCUCUAUGAAGGCUCCAACUGAGCCUUCGCCUGGCGGUAAAUCGCCGCAAGGCAGCCAAGCACGCGUUCGCCGGACGCGACUUCCAGAUGCAUGGCUUUCGUGCUGAGACACAUGAAAACCGUGAUGAAGGUCUUGUGCGCGCGAUGUCCGCGCCCCUUCGUGCAGGUGGAUCGGGCCGACGUAAUUUACCCCGAUGUGCAGAAAUGGCCUCGCUGGAGUGACCCGAAGAAGAGGCAGAUCCCCCAUGAUCUGCUGCUGAGUGACCGCCCGCCAUCGGACGCAACGACAGAUCACGGCCUUAACCAGCUGGCGCCCGCGAGAAAUCCAAUACCGUUGUCGGACAGACCCGAGGGUGAGCUGGACUCCUCCGUGCAAUGUACGUUGGUGACAGGCUUUGACGAUGAGCCGCGUGGGAUGCGAAGUGGGAUGCGUUCGGCACGAUCACCGAGUGCUUCUCGUCGUAGGCCAGGAGGGCAUGUUUGAUCCGCCCACCAACCUUGAAGAUGCUUUGCGAGUCUACGAACGGAUCUGCACCACUCUGAUCCAGGCCGAGCAAGCGUCGUCGCACUCGGAGGCCGACAUUCUUGGCCGGGGGCUGGCUUACCGUAGCGAGGAGAGGCUGCUGAAACGCGAGUCUCAGCGACAACCCCGAAGAUCUGGUGGCCUUGACUCCGAGGCACUUCCUUGCCAGACGCUCCACCGCUUACACCAGGCGAUCACCUGCAGCAGACGGUGUAGCGAAGAAAAACGAAUCAGCUCCUCGGGCUCGGUCUCUUCCAUUUGCGGCGCAGUGGCAUGCGCCCUGAUGCGCUCGUCCAGCAAGUCCGUAGCGGACGCAUCCUCGUUGGUCGACGGCCUGAUGCUGAGUCCUCUGACAGCCAGGGUGAACCUGUCCACCAGAGCGGAUGAUCGAUCAGCUCGCUCGGGGAGAUUCCUCUCGACGCUCAGUCGGCAGGGUUCUCCGUCCCCGGGAGAUGAUGCCACUGUGCUCCUGGCAAGGUUGACUGGAUUUCGGCGACUCAGUUAGCGACGUACAUCUUCCAGUGCGACAGGUUGCCUCGAAUCCAGCCUAGCGCGACCGUGGAAUCGGACCAUAGAUGGAUGGGCGCGUCCAUCGCUCCGAGAAUCCUCCUGACAUUGUGCUGGGGCACAUGAGAUGAAGGACUGCAAGAAUAGGGAUCAACUGUGGUUUAAAGGUCAGGAGGAUAUCUUGUGCACGAGAUAAUGGUGUCAGAAUUGAGGCAUUCUCUCCUGACAUUAAAAAGAUCAAGGCUCACCCUGGCCUUGCGGAUGCUGGAUUGACAGUGCGUAAGAACAGGAAAUUGAAUCCGAGGCUUAUAAUACAUGGAGUUCCUGCCGAUAUGUCGGCUAAAGAGAUUGAGGAUGAGCUGACAUGGACCAUUAACCUCGUGGAGAGGGAGGAGAGAGCUCCGCGCAGAGCUCCAAGCGAGAUCUCCGACCAUGCAUAGACGACUGCGGCGUAGACUCGCUCGGACGCAUCCGCGAAGCCGAGCAAUUCGACUCGCGCGCCUGAAGCAAGAGGUGCGCCUGAGGUGCACGUAGCGAGGGACGCGAAUUUCCUCCAGAUUGGGGAAGUCGGCCCGGUACUUGCUCCACGCUUGUGUGUCGAUCUCGUCCAGUGGCGAAUCCCAGUCGCGCCUUUGCAAUCACGUGGAUUGGAAUUGAAUCUUCGCUUGGAUCACGGUCGGAGCUAGCCAGUCUAUUAGCGUGUACGAGUAUGUAUAAAAUAUAAGAAUUAGGACAUCUAAAAAAAAUCACAAUCUUAAUCAAGAGAUUUCAAAGAUGUUUGCAAAUUGGUUGGAGCAAUAUUAUAAAUCUAAAAGAAAAAAAGUGUGCAAAAUAUGUGACGAAAAUUGUAUACACGAAAACUCUUAUAUGUUUAUGAUACAUAUAAUGAAUAAGCAUAAAAUUGAAACAACUAAAUUUAGCUAACAUAUCAAGAUUAGCAAUAUAUCGCCACAUUUUUUACAAUCGCGACAUUUUUUAUAAUUUUUUUUUUAUUUAGCCAUAAACUAUUUUUGUCUAAAUUUGUUUUAUUAAUUUAUAUAUUCUUUAGAAUCUGUAUAAUUAUUAUUUAACAUGUCAUAUACGGAAAGUAACUGAACAAAUAUACAUGGAGCAUACCAUCAAAUGCAAGACAAUAAUCCAAAUCGAAAAGUCCUGAACUAUUUUUUAAUCUUACAAUCAAUUUACUUUUUGUUGUUAUACGAUGUUGAAGUUAAUUAAUCAGCACCUAUAUACAGCAAAAAGCCUUCUUGAUACUUCGACACUCGCCAUACCUUCCUUGUUUUCUGCUGUAGAGACUAAUUGGUUAUUAACUUUAAUAUCAUAUAAUAACUAAAAAAAAACUCAGAUCAAAAAAUAGUUUAGAACUUUUUGAUCUGGAUUGUUGUCUUGUACCUGAUGUACUCCAUGCAUGUUCAAUUAUCCUGUAUAAUGCGUAUUAAAUAUAUCUAAAUAAUAAAAAUUAUGAUCCCCGUUUUUUUUUUAUUUAAAAUUAUAAUUAUCGUUAAAUUUUAUAUUUUUCUUAUUUUAUUAUUAAUAAGUUAUUAAUAAUUAUUUCUCUAACAAAAAAUGGAAGAUAAAUUUUAUUUAUUUUAUUGUGUUAAUAUAAAUAUUUUUAUUCUAAUUUGUUUUGUUAUUUGGAUUUAUUGCGCAAAAAUGCAUAUAUUGCAAGCGAAUAAGAAAAUUCGACGACUGAACAUUUGCGAGCGGCGAGUGUUUUUGUGAUCGCUCAGUGUCUAUCUCUAUUCUCUAUCCCCACGCACGAAUUUUGACUACACGUACACGCGAUGACGUAGCGUUAUGUCUGGUUAGUAAGCUCCUGACCACUUCACUUAUAUGAUAAGUCGCUGGAUAGAGUUCUUAUUUCUACCGCAGCAUUCUUAUUCCUAUGUCGCCACCGGCAACUCAGAGUUCCGCGGCGACUACUCAGGAGUCUUAAGGGGAUCCUUAAGUGACUGGCGAACUCCGAUGGGUUAGCGCCCUCAUCUAAACGUAACUAAAAUUGCCGAUAAUACCGGCAUUUGUAGUUCCGCUAUUAUCGAUAGUAUUCAAUUAAUUUAAACAUGCAUAAUAGAAGAUGCAAUUUUUGCAUUGUGUUCCAUAUAUUCAAAUGAGAAUAUUACAAUAUAUUUUUACUGCUUUAUUUAUCGUCUAGCAUAUGUAUCCAAACACGCACACGCUCAAGCACAUGCACACACAUAUAAUGA